UCGACCAGGUACAUCGAUUGCGCAAACCUCCAUAAGACACUCCAUCUGGCUGUUAUGAUGAUCUUUUAAAAACUAACGAAGAAACAGAAGCAGAAGUCCCUCGGGAGCUACCAUAAUUUCCAAUUCUUUGCAAUGAUUGAAUUGAACUUUUUGAACGAACUUUGGAAGACAUUCGUUAACAUAAGCUCCAAACUCCUUAAGAAAUAUGCUGACAUUCACUUAAUGUAUGGAAUUGCAGCAUGUGAUGCCGUAGAAGCUAAAAGGCUUUACGAGGAACGAUUUCCAGACCGAAGAGAACCGGAUGGAAAAACUUUUGAAAGAAUAGAUCGUCAUGUAAGAGAGACGGGUUAUAAAAAAAAUUCUGUAAUUGCAAGCCUUGCUUUUAUAUUACCCGUAAAAUGAAACGGAAUUAAUUUAAUAAUAACAAUAAUAGUAGUUAAAUUAAAAGAUAAUAAAAAUCAA